rnacentral:lncRNA from 1 species
CGCAAGAGAAACCAAAGAUUUGAAUUCCUCCAAGCCUGAAGAGUGUUCUUUGAGAAUCAAUGAGGGCUUGCCAAAAUUUAAACCUGGGGGAGCCUUGGGAAACAAUGAGCUGAAACCGGGAAAUACAAUUGCAAGUAGCACAGACCCCUUACCUUUGGAAGUACCUGGCCUCAAAGCUGUAGAUGCAGCAAUUGGCUCUCUGAAUUUUGAUGUUGGAUACCCCAACAAUGAAUCUCUGCACGAAUCAUCACACCUGGAUCCUAAACCAAGGGUUGUGGCUGCUACUGUUGAUAAGAAGAAAAAGUUGAAGAAGAUUAUUCAAUGUUACGAAGAGGCUCCUUUGGCAUCAUCUAGUCCGCCACUUGUUGCAAAUGAUGUUCCUAUUCAAAAGGGGGUUGAUAAGCCUAGUGAGCCUCAGGUUGGACCAAAGCCUUCUAAUGUGGGUUCUUCCACUGGUAAUGCUGAUCCUACGAAAUGGGGCCAUCCAGUUGGUGGGAUAAAUUAUUUAGUAGAGAGUGGUUCUGAGAACUCUCCAGUCUCACAGUUUGGUCGUGGUUCUCUUAACAAGUCUCCACUUUUUGGAAUGCCUCUACGAAAUGAUUCAGCUGCCCCCCCAUAUUCCAGCAUCCCACCAUUAAUGAGCAUUAUUCAGAAUGAUGCCUCUGGGAGUAUUGUACAUUUGGGUGUUUCUUGCGAUGGUUGUGGGUCCCAUCCCAUAACUGGACCUAGGUUCAAGUCAAAAGUGUAAGAACUAAGACAGUGACCUUACUAACUUUCUGAUGAAUAUCUACAGAAUCUUUAUAUGUUAAACUGAUCAGUCUUUUAUUGCAGAAAAUAUAACUAUGAUCUGUGCCAAAUCUGUUUUCUUAAAAUGGGAAAUGUUUCUGAUUAUAUUAGAAUUGCUCAUGAGGGGGAUCAUCAGUACCCCACGUCUAUCAAGGAAUUGUAUGGCCAUGUAUGUAAAAUUCAUUGUCCUGUUUGUUUCUUUAUUAAGCAUUUAUCAUAUCUUUUAUUUGUUAAAUUUUAUUGCUCCUGUCUACUCUUAACACAGCAUGCUAAGGACCGGGUGAUCUUCAGUGGUUGCAAUGAUAGAAUGGGUAUAGCAAAGCUAGACAGUCGCUUCAUUCAGGAUGUGAAUAUUUUCGAUGAAACUGUGAUGGCCCCUUUGACUCCAUUUACCAAGAUUUGGCGGAUGGGGAACAUUGGUGCAUCGGCGUGGCCCCAAAAAACACAACUUGUUUGGACUGGGGGAGACAGAUUAAGUAAUGCAUUUCCGGUUGAAGUAGAGGUUGGUUAUCACCAUUUUUUUUUUUUGGAUGCAAGGGCUUAAUGUGUACCCCCCACCCCCCGGGUGUUUCUAGUGAAAAUUCUGCAAUUGAUUUUGGAUAUCUCUUGGGCUUUUGAUUUGUCUCUAAAACCCUUAAGUUAUUCUGUGGCAUACAGUAGAAAAUUGCUAGAUGCUGAGACUUCUCUGUUUUAUUCUUUCCUUUGUUAGUUACAAUUUUAGAAUUUGAAUUUUGCAACUAUGUAUUCAUUUUGUGUCAUGAAAUCUCUCACAGCUUUUCUUUUCCUUUUUAUGAUACAUGCUUUCUAAAUUAUUGCUUCUAAUAUUUGCCUUAGAUUAACUUUCUGGAUUUUUUUUAUGAUUUUUAUUCAUUUGCCCAAUCUCAAAGAGCAUCUUCAAUGAACCUAACCUCCCUUAUUAGGCCUUUUCAAUUAUUUUACUUUUAACUCCCCAUGUUUGUUCUAACUAUCAUGAUCCUAAGUUCUAAUUCUUUCUUGAUGAUCUUAGACAAAUAUACUUAGAAGAAUGUCUUGUAUGGGUAUGUUUAUAAAACACACAGAGAGAGGUUUCAUUUUGUUAUUGCUCAUUUUGAAUAUGUGUCUCUGCUAGCAACUUUGACCGAGGUCAAAAUUAUGUGCUCAAGUGAUAUGCAUUUAAAUCUGGAUGAGAAAUAAUUAUAGCAAUAGGCCUGCUAGUAUGAAGCUUGUAAAUACAUGGGUCUGCAAGCUAUAUCUAGUAUAGAUGUUUGUAUAGGGCCGAUCUACUUUUUAGCAUUUGUUAGUUAUUUUUCUACAUCUGUUAUUCAUUAUACUAUCUUUCCCCACUCAGUCCCUAUGUCAUCUGAGUUUUUUUUCUCCCUAAUGUUGUUGUGGCAACAUUUCUACAGGCAAAGUACGGGGACAUGCUCAGGCGGUUCAAUGCCCAAAUUGUUGACAAGGAACUGUAUCUUAAUUUUGAUGGACUGAGAGAGAAGAUCUGUUCAUUAUUCAAUUUUGUUCCUGAUACUGAGUUCACACUUACCUAUAUUGAUGAAGAUGGUGAUGUGGUGACGAUUGUUAAUGAUGAUGAUCUGCAUGAUGUGGUAAGGCAGGCCCUGAACCCCUUAAGGAUUACUGUGAAGGUGAACACUGAGCAGAAUGGCAGAGAAUAUGCUCGUUCAAGUGGGAGUUCAACUCCCUUGAGAUUGCCUAGAGUUCAGCAACCCUUCCGAAAGCUGAACGCAAACGUCUCUGAAAUUUUGAAAUCUGUGCCAGAGCCUCUAUGUGAAACUCUCUUGAAGCUUUCAACUGAGUUGUCAUCUAAAACCUCCUCCUCUGCACCAGGUAUUGCCGAGCUUGCUGUAUACUUCUCAAAGAUAGGUUUGUCCUACCUAGAUCAGCUUUCAGAGUCCAAAUCUGAAGUGCAGUCUUGUACACCAAGCGAGGUUCCUGAAAGCUCCUCAGCCGCAAGAGAAACCAAAGAUUUGAAUUCCUCCAAGCCUGAAGAGUGUUCUUUGAGAAUCAAUGAGGGCUUGCCAAAAUUUAAACCUGGGGGAGCCUUGGGAAACAAUGAGCUGAAACCGGGAAAUACAAUUGCAAGUAGCACAGACCCCUUACCUUUGGAAGUACCUGGCCUCAAAGCUGUAGAUGCAGCAAUUGGCUCUCUGAAUUUUGAUGUUGGAUACCCCAACAAUGAAUCUCUGCACGAAUCAUCACACCUGGAUCCUAAACCAAGGGUUGUGGCUGCUACUGUUGAUAAGAAGAAAAAGUUGAAGAAGAUUAUUCAAUGUUACGAAGAGGCUCCUUUGGCAUCAUCUAGUCCGCCACUUGUUGCAAAUGAUGUUCCUAUUCAAAAGGGGGUUGAUAAGCCUAGUGAGCCUCAGGUUGGACCAAAGCCUUCUAAUGUGGGUUCUUCCACUGGUAAUGCUGAUCCUACGAAAUGGGGCCAUCCAGUUGGUGGGAUAAAUUAUUUAGUAGAGAGUGGUUCUGAGAACUCUCCAGUCUCACAGUUUGGUCGUGGUUCUCUUAACAAGUCUCCACUUUUUGGAAUGCCUCUACGAAAUGAUUCAGCUGCCCCCCCAUAUUCCAGCAUCCCACCAUUAAUGAGCAUUAUUCAGAAUGAUGCCUCUGGGAGUAUUGUACAUUUGGGUGUUUCUUGCGAUGGUUGUGGGUCCCAUCCCAUAACUGGACCUAGGUUCAAGUCAAAAGUGUAAGAACUAAGACAGUGACCUUACUAACUUUCUGAUGAAUAUCUACAGAAUCUUUAUAUGUUAAACUGAUCAGUCUUUUAUUGCAGAAAAUAUAACUAUGAUCUGUGCCAAAUCUGUUUUCUUAAAAUGGGAAAUGUUUCUGAUUAUAUUAGAAUUGCUCAUGAGGGGGAUCAUCAGUACCCCACGUCUAUCAAGGAAUUGUAUGGCCAUGUAUGUAAAAUUCAUUGUCCUGUUUGUUUCUUUAUUAAGCAUUUAUCAUAUCUUUUAUUUGUUAAAUUUUAUUGCUCCUGUCUACUCUUAACACAGCAUGCUAAGGACCGGGUGAUCUUCAGUGGUUGCAAUGAUAGAAUGGGUAUAGCAAAGCUAGACAGUCGCUUCAUUCAGGAUGUGAAUAUUUUCGAUGAAACUGUGAUGGCCCCUUUGACUCCAUUUACCAAGAUUUGGCGGAUGGGGAACAUUGGUGCAUCGGCGUGGCCCCAAAAAACACAACUUGUUUGGACUGGGGGAGACAGAUUAAGUAAUGCAUUUCCGGUUGAAGUAGAGGUUGGUUAUCACCAUUUUUUUUUUUGUGCAUGGUUUCUAAUACCAGUUUGUGUAUAAUCAUCUCUUUUAUAUGGUCAGAUUCUUGUAUAAUUUUACACGUGUAUAGCAUUUGGUUUUUUUUGGCGUUUCUCAUAUUUUCUUCUACGUCUUUUUCUUCUAAAUGGUAGCAACUUGUUUGGUUAUGCUUCAUUUUCCGUUUCUACUUUUUGAUACUACUAAUUCUUAUUUCUUUUUGUCUGCAGUGAAGGAUGACACCUUGUCUUUGCAUGUAUCUUCUAUUAGUAUUAGUAGAUUUUUAUAAUAAUUAUCAUCAAAAGAAAAGAUUAAUCCUCGUGAUUUUUUUUCCAUCGCUAGAUUC